rnacentral:rRNA from 1 species
GGGUUGUGAGGUUAAGCGACUAAGCGUACACGGUGGAUGCCCUGGCAGUCAGAGGCGAUGAAGGACGUGCUAAUCUGCGAUAAGCGUCGGUAAGGUGAUAUGAACCGUUAUAACCGGCGAUUUCCGAAUGGGGAAACCCAGUGUGUUUCGACACACUAUCAUUAACUGAAUCCAUAGGUUAAUGAGGCGAACCGGGGGAACUGAAACAUCUAAGUACCCCGAGGAAAAGAAAUCAACCGAGAUUCCCCCAGUAGCGGCGAGCGAACGGGGAGCAGCCCAGAGCCUGAAUCAGUGUGUGUGUUAGUGGAAGCGUCUGGAAAGGCGCGCGAUACAGGGUGACAGCCCCGUACACAAAAAUGCACAUGCUGUGAGCUCGAUGAGUAGGGCGGGACACGUGGUAUCCUGUCUGAAUAUGGGGGGACCAUCCUCCAAGGCUAAAUACUCCUGACUGACCGAUAGUGAACCAGUACCGUGAGGGAAAGGCGAAAAGAACCCCGGCGAGGGGAGUGAAAAAGAACCUGAAACCGUGUACGUACAAGCAGUGGGAGCCUCUUUAUGGGGUGACUGCGUACCUUUUGUAUAAUGGGUCAGCGACUUAUAUUCUGUAGCAAGGUUAAC